GUGUUGUAUGAAACGAGGGAAGGUUAUCUCCCCCCUUGAUAAGGAUGGAAGAGGUCCCUAUGGCCUUUACAACACACAUAUAUGGUUAAGGCAUUGCCAUUUACUUUGUGGCAUCUAAUCACCAUUUUUC